rnacentral:lncRNA from 1 species
GGGAACUCAAUUCAACCAAUUUGGGCAACAGUCCUCGUCACGAAAAAAAAUGUUGGGGGAAGCUAAAGAACGUUUGCGGCAAGAACUAUUCUCUGUACCAAAAGAAACAUUGGGGGAAGUUCAACAACUCUUGCGGCAGAACUUAUUCUCUGUACCAAAAGAAACAUCAAGGGAAGCCCAACAACGUUUACAACAAAAACAAUCCCCUGUACGCAAAGAAACAUUAGGGGAAGCUAAAGAACGUUUAUUGCAGGAACAACACUCUCAUGUUUUGAAGUCUCUGGGCAUCAUUAGGGUUAAUACUGAAGUUAACCUUAAAGAAGAAUGUCAAGCCAUUAUCUUUGCAAAUGAU